GAAAUCCAGCAAACUGUUUUUCUUUCGCUUGUUUUUUAUGUCGCCAUAACGGGGGCUAUUCGUUGCGCGAGAGACAAGCGAAAGACGAACAGACAGCCUCCUGACCGGGAGGCUUUUUUGUA
rfam:Photobacterium aquae strain CGMCC 1.12159 contig0019, whole genome shotgun sequence.